CACAUGUGCGCGCUUCCCCGACCGGAAGUAGAAUUAAGUGGUUAGGUCCGUUGCUAUCAAAUGUCCGACGGCUCACUUAGUCCUCAGAAACUUUUCCGAGGACAAUUUCUGAAGUGCGAAAUAAAACGGGACCGACCAGCUCUCCACCCAUGAUUCAGGUCCAAACCAUGACUCCACCACCUCCUUGUUGGGACACAGCCUUGAUGAGUAAUAGUGGGAAUCCACCGACUACCCACUACUGCAUUCUUUUGGACCAUCCAGGGUCCUCCAUACAAGACAUAUGAUUACAUUUAAAUUUGUUACAUUUAAUACAAGUUCCUAAUUGAUUGGAUCUUUUUAAACACUACUUUUGUAAAUCUGAUUUUUUUUUACAUGUUGUGUCAUUUAAUAAAACUCAGUAAGCAAUGGUUUUCCACAAUUUUAAUGUAAUUAAUAAUAAAAAUAUGCAGUCUGAUUCGUCCUAUGAAACAAAUGUAUAUUUGGCAUGUUUACAUGUGAAAUCAUCCUGAAAGUGAAUGUCUGCAGAAAAACUCUAGUGUCUUCUCUCUGCUGCAGCGUGAAGAAACCUGCACCAUCCAGACUCUGACAUGUUCAAACUGGGCUGUAAAUAACUGAGCAGAGUUUCUGUAAAGUGACCUGGCACUACGACAUGAUCUGGACUCAGUCGACAGGUGUGGAGUCUCUUCAUCCGUCUUCCUCCUCCUCUUCAGUUUCCAGAGGGCCUCGAUGAGGAGGGAGGGACGGCGAGAUCCGCUGCCAGCGGUUUGGUGGCCAGAUGAUGUGAGAGGCCCGACCAUGAAGGAGCCCCACGGACACCUGGUGGGGGGUUCAUAAAUAAUCAUAGUUAUGGAUUUAGUUUACUCUGAAGGAUUUACAAAGAGAAUGGUAUAGGCCCUAUAAAGGAACCAAAUUGAGAUUUUUUUGCAUUUUAGGCUCAAACAGCUGCUUGAUUUUGCCAACAUUCACAGCAAGCAAACAAAAACUACAAAUACCAAUUAAAGUUCACCCAUUAUUUGUGAUCGUGUACACAAUUCAUCUACAAAAAAAUCAACAAAGGUUCAAGAGAGUUUUUAAAGACAACGACAUGGUAUUUCACAGGAACACAUCCUGAACAGACUAUAAUCAAUAUGUAUCUCACAGUAAUGAGAAUUUCCUAACUUUAUGACUUUAAUUCAAAAUAAGGAUGCAAAGUAAAAAAAAACUGUGGUGGCUGCCGCCAUCACAGUACCAUGAGUACACUACGUAUUUAUCUGUCUUUUUUUGCUUAAGUUCAUUAAUAUUUAUUUGUGUCUUUGAGGUGCUGGUGCCAGAAGAUCACCACUCUUGCUGUUAAUGCUGCCAUCUACUGGAGAAAAGAAGCAACAACCCAGAAUGAGCAUUUGGCAGAAAUCAACCCGGACAGCAAGCAGCUGAUUGGACUUUUCCAUGGCCAAUAGGGAGGGGAGAAUAUUAAUUUGUGUGUUUAAAUUAUUAUCAUUUGCUUUACCUUCUAAUCAUUUUCAUGAAUUUCUUAAGAGCAACUGUAUGUUGGAUUUAGUUUACAUUGAACUCAUUCAUUUAUUGUGUUUGAAUAUUGCUUGUAGUCAGAGUUUGUCCUUUUCAGUUCCCCCUUGUGUGUCCUCAGUGGUUUGAUCACCCAUAAUGUAUGCUUCCCUUUUGUGCCUAAUAAGUUAGGUCAGUUCUGUUCAUACUUUGUUAACUUAUGUUGCCCUUUUGUUGCUUAACCUUAAACCCGAGUUUCCUUGCUGCUUAGUUGACCUCUUAAGAGUCAAAACAUCUUUUGACAAUAUAAUAAAAUUAUCAACUUUUUAAAUAUUUUUUA